GAUGAACGCUGGCGGCGUGCUUAACACAUGCAAGUCGAGCGGAAAGGCUCCUGCUUGCCUGGGUUCUCGAUUGGCGAACGGGUGAGUAACACGUGUGUGAUCUGUCCCGCACUUCGGGAUAAGCCUGGGAAACUGGGUCUCAUACCGGAUAUGACCACAUUUUGCAUGGUGUGGUAGAAAGUUGUGCGGUGUUGGUUUCGCUCGCGGCCUAUUAGCUUGUUGGUGGGGUAAUGGCUUACCAAGGCGUAGACGGGUAGCAGGCCUGAGAGGGUGGACGGCCACAUUGGGACUGAGAUACGGCCCAGACUCCUACGGGAGGCAGCAGUGGGGAAUAUUACACAAUGGGCGCAAGCCUGAUGCAGAGACGCCGCGUGGGGGAUGACGGCCUUCGGGUUGUAAACUCCUUUCGCUAGGGACGAAGAGCAAGUGACGGUACCUGGAGAAGAAGCACCGGCUAACUACGUG
rnacentral:rRNA from 1 species